rnacentral:rRNA from 1 species
GACGAACCGAGCGAACGUUGUUCGGAAUUACUGGGCGUAAAGGGCGCGUAGGCGGCGACUCUAGUCAGAUGUGAAAGUCCUGGGCUUAACCUGGGGACUGCAUUUGAUACUGGGUUGCUUGAAUUCGGGAGAGGAUAGCGGAAUUCCCAGUGUAGAGGUGAAAUUCGUAGAUAUUGGGAAGAACACCGGUGGCGAAGGCGGCUAUCUGGACCGACAUUGACGCUGAGGCGCGAAAGCGUGGGGAGCAAACAGG